rnacentral:misc_RNA from 1 species
GGGAGCAUGGCAUUGAAUCGUAUGCAAAAUGCAAAAGGUGCCGCACUCAAGUUACUGGCAGAAAGCUAUACAAGCAGGGAUCAGGUUUCCAUAAUUCCUUUCCGUGGAGAUUGUGCUGAAGUUCUUCUGCCUCCUUCCAGAUCUAUUGCAAUGGCGAGAAAACGUCUCGAGAGACUUCCUUGUGGUGGAGGAUCUCCCCUGGCUCAUGGUCUUACCACAGCUGUCAGGGUUGGAUUAAAUGCUGAGAAAAGUGGCGAUGUAGGAAGAGUGAUGAUUGUUGCAAUUACCGAUGGCAGA